AGCGAACGCUGGCGGCAGGCCUAAUACAUGCAAGUCGAGCGGCCGUAGCAAUACGGCAGCGGCAGACGGGAGAGUAACACGUGGGAACGUACCUUUCGGUUCGGAACAACCCAGGGAAACUUGGGCUAAUACCGGAUACGUCCGUAAGGAGAAAGAUUUAUCGCCGAAAGAUCGGCCUGCGUCUGAUUAGCUUGUUGGUGAGGUAACGGCUCACCAAGGCGACGAUCAGUAGCUGGUCUGAGAGGAUGAUCAGCCUCACUGGGACUGAGACACGGCCCAGACUCCUACGGGAGGCAGCAGUAGGGAAUAUUGGACAAUGGGCGCAAGCCUGAUCCAGCCAUGCCGCGUGAGUGAUGAAGGCCCUAGGGUUGUAAAGCUCUUUCGGCGGGGAAGAUAAUGACGGUACCCGCAGAAGAAGCCCCGGCUAACUUCGCGCCAGCCGCCGCCGUAA
rnacentral:rRNA from 1 species